rnacentral:rRNA from 1 species
UGGCGAACGGGUGAGUAACACGUGGGCAACCUGCCCAAAAGAGGGGGAUAACACUUGGAAACAGGUGCUAAUACCGCAUAACCAUAGUUACCGCAUGGUAACUAUGUAAAAGGUGGCUAUGCUACCGCUUUUGGAUGGGCCCGCGGCGCAUUAGCUAGUUGGUGGGGUAAAGGCUUACCAAGGCAAUGAUGCGUAGCCGAACUGAGAGGUUGAUCGGCCACAUUGGGACUGAGACGCGGCCCAAACUCCUACGGAAGGCAGCAG